rnacentral:lncRNA from 10 species
GAAACAGCAUGCUCAAAAGCUUGGUAGUAUGAGAGAAUGGGACAUUGGCCAAAAAAAGGUCAUUAAAUGUGAGUAAAAAGUAGUGAGAAAUGGGGCUGGAAAGACUAAUUAGGCUACAUAGGCAGCAUUUUGUAUGCUACAUGACUGACACUGCAGGUGAGAUGAAACCAACAAAAUCUUAAUCUGUGGAGAGGCAAGGUCAUAUUUGUUGACCAGACAUGAAAUCUUGGUGGCAGUAUGAAAAAGAUACUGGAGAAUACCGAAAGCAGCAAUCACUGAGAGGGCCGUCACAUUAGUUCAAGUUCUGAAGCCUAAACAAGCAAGGUGGCAGCAAGAAUGGAGAACAGGCGACAGAAACUUUCUGGGAGCCCCUUGACAGAGCGGAAAGUAUCGAUACCCAGUUGUUGUGUAUCCUUUGCAACAGCCGAUGAGUCAUCUCCUGUAUACACCCAAGUGGUUGAAAACACAGAUUCCCCCAUCUGGAAUUUUCAACAGCAGUCAAGGCUAUCAAAAGAGCUGCUUCUGGACCCACAACAAACCCUGGUCUUCAAAGUUUGGCAUAAAGGAGAUGAGGAGAGGGUGAUUGGCUUUG